CAUAGAUAGAAAGUGUG
rnacentral:miRNA from 1 species